AAGCUCAUAGUUUAAAAGGUAAAAUAAUUUCUUAUAAAGAGGAAAAAGUAGAAGUUCGAUUCUUCUAGGCUUA
rnacentral:tRNA from 1 species